rnacentral:rRNA from 1 species
GCACCGGCUAACUACGUGCCAGCAGCCGCGGUAAUACGUAGGGUGCGAGCGUUGUCCGGAAUUACUGGGCGUAAAGAGCUCGUAGGUGGUUUGUCGCGUCGUCUGUGAAAUUCCGGGGCUUAACUCCGGGCGUGCAGGCGAUACGGGCAUAACUUGAGUACUGUAGGGGAGACUGGAAUUCCUGGUGUAGCGGUGAAAUGCGCAGAUAUCAGGAGGAACACCGGUGGCGAAGGCGGGUCUCUGGGCAGUAACUGACGCUGAGGAGCGAAAGCAUGGGGAGCGAACAGGAUUAGAUACCCUGGUAGUCCAUGCCGUAAACGGUGGGCGCUAGGUGUGGGUUUCCUUCCACGGGAUCCGUGCCGUAGCUAACGCAUUAAGUACCCCGCCUGGGGAGUACGGCCGCA